UACGAAGGGUGCAAGUGUUAGUCGGAAUUACUGGGCGUAAAGCGUGCGUAGGUGGUUUCUUAAGUCGGAUGUGAAAGCCCUGGGCUCAACCUGGGAAUGGCACUCGAUACUGGGAAGCUAGAGUGCGGUAGAGGAGGGUGGAAUUCCCGGUGUAGCGGUGAAAUGCGUAGAGAUCGGGAGGAACAUCAGUGGCGAAGGCGACCCUCUGGACCAGCACUGACGCUGAGGAGCGAAAGCGUGGGGAGCAAACAGG
rnacentral:rRNA from 1 species